GGGGUCAUAGUGAAAUGGGAUCACGCCACCAUGGCAUGGUGGAAUUUCGGGUUCGAAUCCCGAUGACUCCA
rnacentral:tRNA from 1 species